AAACCAGACUCCUACGGGAGGCAGCAGUGGGGGAUAUUGCACAAUGGGGGGAACCCUGAUGCAGCGACGCCGCGUGGGUGAAGGAGUGCUUCGGCAUGUAAAGCCCUAUCGGCAGGGAAGAAGCAAGACGGUACCUGACUAAGAAGCCCCGGCUAACUACGUGCCAGCAGCCGCGGUAAUACGUAGGGGGCGAGCGUUAUCCGGAUUUACUGGGUGUAAAGGGAGCGUAGACGGUCCUGCAAGCCAGAUGUGAAAGCCCGGGGCUCAACCCCGGGACUGCUUUGGAAACUGUUAGACUAGAGUGCUGGAGAGGUAAGUGGAAUUCCUAGUGUAGCGGUGAAAUGCGUAGAUAUUAGGAGGAACACCAGUGGCGAAGGCGGCUUACUGGACAGUAACUGACGUUGAGGCUCGAAAGCGUGGGGAGCAAACAGGAUUAGAUACCCCUGUAAU
rnacentral:rRNA from 1 species